rnacentral:lncRNA from 1 species
CUCAAUAAUGGACUAAGAUAGUCUCAGAUUCAAACAGUGAAGGAAUGAUCACACUUAACAAGAAACUGCCACUAAUCCAAAACUUAUUUUAGCCUAAUUGAUAACACAUCUCUACAGAAAAGCACAACCAGCAAAGAAGAAGCAAGAGGAGGAUUUUUGACACUUUGGAUUUUAACUACUAGAUAGUGUCACGUUCUUAUAUUGAGCAUGUUCAAAGCAGGACAGAGCCUAAAUGUGACACCAAAACACUCCAAGAGAUCUAUGCCCACAAAUAAGAUGUUGAAACCAAGCGAGCAUUCAUCAGUUGUGCAUUUGACACUAAAAUAAAUCACUGUAAGCAUGAACAAGAAACUAAAGAGCAAUUACUCAGCUUAAUUCAUGGAACGAUUUAUUUUAAACAUGUCACUUCUCAUUUGAGUAUGAAACCACAUAAAAAAAUAGAUCCGCGAGGACAAUGAUACACUAGCAGAUUCCAAUUUAAUCCUAUUUCGAGUGAAAACUUUGCACAAAACUACUGAGAACUAGAAAGCUUCCAAGUUUAUCCAUCCAGUUAAGAGAAAUCGAUGUUUACAAACUGAAAUGAUCACAAUCUUGCUUCAAAGGUGAAAACAAAUCACUAGAAAUGGAAACAAAUAGAUAGACAAUACAAACUGGUCGGCAUUCAAGUGUCAAGAUAGUUUGUACAUUUAAUAUCAAGGCGUGAAAAAUACUACGUGUAAUUGGACUGAUUUACGACUACGACAUGAAUAAGCAUGAAAUUUCAGGAAAAUGCACGAGUUGUUCAAAACCUAGUUCAUACACUUUCCAAUAUAGAGAUAACAGAUUCAAACAAUGGAACAAGGACCAACUCGUACUCGAUUUUCAUGCUAGAGAUCACUGAAUUCAACACAUGGACAACGAAGGUAUCACAUGAAAUCAAUUCUGCCCGAACAGAGCAGAAUGGAGCGGGUUGUCAUUCAAAUAUACGCAAAAUCUCAGUACGACCUCAAACAUUCAAACCAAGUUAAUAUCAAACUAGCUAACUUAACUCCAAUUCUUAACCAAACAAAUUAGCGUCAAAACUAACUAGAGAAUGGACAUCGAAUUAAAAAAGAGCAUAAGAAGAUGAACCUGAAAUCGAAUCUUUCUUUUGAUAAUAGAAUCGAAGGCGAUUAGACAACUUCAACUCCAAAACUCCCAUCAGAACACAAUGGUAAAUCAAAACUCGAAGAAUAGCAAACCAAUAGCAGUCGAGCAGAAAUAAGAGGUAGGACAACGACCAACUCAGCAAUUCUCAAACGAGCUCCACUUUAAAAGAACUCAAGCCCACGAAGAAUAUACGAAAAAUAGAAAUUAUGAAGUUCCAAACUAGGUAGAUAUAUCAGAAACAGUUUAAUGUGUUUGGUAUGCAUUACAAGUUAUGCAAACACAGAACAUCCAGCCAGUUAUGCAAAACAUAAAUGCAAUAUUCUCUGUUUCAUAUGCAUUACAAGUUAUGCAAACACAGGACAUCCAGCCAAGCUCUUUUAAUAUUAAUUUUAUAAGUUAUGGAAAAUCUCUUCGCAGUCAUCAGCCAAACACUAGUACACUGCGACGUCUGAUU